GGCUCAGAUUGAACGCUGGCGGCAUGCUUUACACAUGCAAGUCGAACGGGGUGAGGAGCUUGCUCCUCAUCUAGUGGGCGAACGGGUGAGUAAUACAUCGGAACGUACCGUGUAGUGGGGGAUAACGUAGCGAAAGUUACGCUAAUACCGCAUACGAUCCACGGAUGAAAGCAGGGGACCUUCGGGCCUUGUGCUAUACGAGCGGCCGAUGUCUGAUUAGCUAGUUGGUGGGGUAAAGGCCCACCAAGGCAACGAUCAGUAGCGGGUCUGAGAGGAUGAUCCGCCACACUGGGACUGAGACACGGCCCAGACUCCUACGGAGGCAGCAGUGGGGAAUUUUGGACAAUGGGCGCAAGCCUGAUCCAGCCAUGCCGCGUGUCUGAAGAAGGCCUUCGGGUUGUAAAGGACUUUUGUCAGGGAGCAAAACCCAGCAGCUAAUAUCUGUUGGGGAUGAGAGUACCUGAAGAAUAAGCACCGGCUAACUACGUG
rnacentral:rRNA from 1 species